rnacentral:ncRNA from 1 species
GGAACAGGGGGUGCCUUGAUAGGAGGCUGAGAUCCCGCCGGCUGGAGUGUGUACACUUUAGGAACGCGGAGACCCUUAGAACCUGAUCCGGAUAAUGCCGGCGUAGGGAAUGAAA